UCCAGACUCCUACGGGAGGCAGCAGUGGGGAAUAUUGGACAAUGGGGGGAACCCUGAUCCAGCGACGCCGCGUGAGUGAAGAAGUAUUUCGGUAUGUAAAGCUCUCUCAGCAGGGAAGAAGAAAGACGGUACCUGACUAAGAAGCCCCGGCUAACUACGUGCCAGCAGCCGCGGUAAUACGUAGGGGGCAAGCGUUAUCCGGAUUUACUGGGUGUAAAGGGAGCGUAGACGGCUGUGCAAGUCUGAAGUGAAAGCCCAGGGCUCAACCCUGGGACUGCUUUGGAAACUGUGGAGCUAGAGUGCUGGAGAGGUAAGUGGAAUUCCUAGUGUAGCGGUGAAAUGCGUAGAUAUUAGGAGGAACACCAGUGGCGAAGGCGGCUUACUGGACAGUAACUGACGUUGAGGCUCGAAAGCGUGGGGAGCAAACAGGAUUAGAUACCCUAGUA
rnacentral:rRNA from 1 species